UACGAAGGGGGCUAGCGUUGCUCGGAAUCACUGGGCGUAAAGCGCACGUAGGCGGAUUGCUAAGUCAGGGGUGAAAUCCUGGAGCUCAACUCCAGAACUGCCUUUGAUACUGGCGAUCUCGAGUCCGGGAGAGGUGAGUGAAACUGCGAGUGUAGAGGUGAAAUUCGUAGAUAUUCGCAAGAACACCAGUGGCGAAGGCGGCUCACUGGCCCGGUACUGACGCUGAGGUGCGAAAGCGUGGGGAGCAAACAGG
rnacentral:rRNA from 1 species